ensembl:lncRNA novel transcript
AUUCAGUGUUUGGGUGAAGACGGAGGCGGGUUCUGGACAGACCUACGCUGUCGGGGAGUGUUUACUUCGCCUCCACUUCUGUUCCUCCCCGCCCUGGUGCUGCUCCAGGUCACAUACUCUUCCUGAGCCGGCUUCAGCCUCUCCGCGCAGAAGUCUCCCGGAGCCAUGGCCUAGUAUUCUUAUGUGAAGUCUACCAAGCUUGUGCUCAAGGGAACCGAGGUGAAGAGCUGGGUCCUGCAGCUCCGGCGGGAGCCUCCUCAGUUCUUUUCGGACGCACUCCACCCCCGCGAAUCCGGUGGAAGCCGUGAUGCGGAGAGCCGGCUUCGUGGCCUCCCAGGCUUCGCUCUGACCCUGUCUGGGCUGGAUGGAGGCCGGACCGCCCUUCCUGGCGCCUGUGCAGAGAGGGGCAGCCUCCUGCGCGGACGACCCUGGAAACAGGAUAGACGGGCGGGUGACCCGUGACCCCGUACCCACGAGUUUGGGUCCCUUGAGGCAUCUCUCCAGGCCUCUGCCUGGUGGGUCUGCGUUAGUCUGAUCUUGUAGUUCAUUAUAAUAACUUCCUUUAUUAGGAAUUAUUCUUUUCUCCAUUGUCUCUUCCUGGAAAAAUUAUUAAUUUUUUUCUAAGCUAAUAUGUAGAGUGAAACCAGGAUGAAUCACACAGUGGUUGAGGUGUAUAUGGACUUUGAUAGGGAUAUGGGCUGGAACCUGCACUCUGUCAUUUACUAAUUUUGUAAUUUGUGGCAAAUUGGUUAAUAUGUCUGAACUUCCAUUUACUCAUUAAGAGAUCAAGUAUCUUUGAACCUCCGUUUACACAUUUAUACUUUCAGACCAUUUUUUAUACCUUUAGAAGACUGUGAGGAUUAAAUGAGAGAACAUACAUGCAGUAAAUAAAUUGAGCCAAAUGUGAGGAGGAGGUUGUAGUGGUAAUUUAUUAGCUCUUUAGGAGAAAAAUACCUGUGCAUUCAUAUCCCCGCUUCUUUUUUAACUGGCAGAUUUGCCUGAGGUUGACUGUACAUGCAAAUAUUGAGCUUUCCUCCUGGCCUCCGUGAUAAACAGAAGUUUUGAUAUUGUUAGGCGAGAUGGAAAGAAAGUAUCAAGGAGUGAGCUGAAGCCACUGCCCUUGAGAACCCUCUCGAGGAGUCUGGCCUCAUGAAGAUGCCAGAAUAAAUGGCAGUAAGAAGAAAAAGAGCAAAGAUAAGAAGAGAAAAAGAGAAGAUGAAGAAACCCAGCUUGAUAUGUUGAGGAACGCAGCUGCUCACCAGCAACGGAACAAAGCUGGACGGAGAAUGACUUUGAAGAGCUGAGAGAAGGCUUCAGACGAUCAAAUUACUCUGAGCUACGGGAGGACAUUCAAACCAAAGGCAAAGAAGUUGAAAACUUUGAAAAAAAUAAAUGUACAUUAAUUAACGUGGAAUCUGGUGAACAGUAACAAACUUUGGUGAAAUUUCAGGAACCAUAGCCAUUGAAGUGGAUGAGGGAACCUAUAUACAUGCACUCAACAAUGGUCUUUUUACCCUGGGAGCUCCACACAAAGAAGAAUCGCCCUGAAACCUGGCUAUGGAAAAUAUCUUAGUAUAAAUUCAGAUGAACUUGUUGUUGGCGUUCAGAUGCAAUUGGACCAAGAGAACAAUGGGAACCAGUCUUUCAAAAUGUGGACAGCCCAAAGCACACUCCAACUGGAGGAAGGUUUGCCAUUAAAGAUAAGGUGGAGUUUUGAUUAUUAUCUUGGCUAGUAAAAGUCAUGGGGUCUGCCCACUAUCGUAUGGGAGGGGCGAGGAUUACACCUACUUAAUGCGCUUUGAAGAGGCAUUGGGAAACCAUAAUAAAGAUGUGGGAUUUUUUUUCUUUUC